AAAGAUUCAACAGGAGUAGAAAUGGAUUUCAUUUUGCCCAACGGGCAAAGAAUUGUCCCAUACAAAUAGAGAUUGGAGAGGUGAUUGACCCAUGAACACGCUAAGCAAAAGGUGGCUGUUGCCAAGUAGUUUUGGGCUUUUGGCAUGCUUUCUUUGAAAUUAAAGCCAAGCAACUUUUCAGAUUUGCUUGUUCCAAGUAAAAUGCCGAAAAAUGGAUGGUACACCUGGCAGACAUGAUAGAAG
rnacentral:lncRNA from 1 species